CUCGAAACCUGAGUUGUCCUAUUUUGUUGAUGAAGGAAUUGAAAUCUGAAGACAUGGUGAUUUUUACCCAAUGGGUUAUGCCCUUGAGCACGAAGAGCUUUUGAACUCUGAGGUUCAGGACCACGCGUGCUUCUCACAUUUAUUGAGACAGAGAGUAUUAAUCAAGAGCGGUUCAAGUUUCCACAAUGAGCUAUACAUCAUCUAAACUCACAUGGAUAUACCAGGUCUGCCUUUCCCUACAAUUUAAGCCUUUGUUUUGGCAGGUAUCAGUCACCUGGUGCUAAACUUGGUGCUUAAUGAUCAACUAGAACAAAGUUUCAUAGCCUUCCAGAUUUGUCAAAUCUACAAUAACAGGAUAAUUCUUGUUAGACAUGUUAUUCUACUGGUACAUGUCAUAUAACGAAAUUCUUGUAUUUUGGAAGGAGAAAACAUUGAGUGGAGCAAUUAUGCAAUUCAAGUGGCAUGGUCAUCAAAGGUUUUGUUUUUUCUUAAUCGUGACAUGUGUUAAUAUU